rnacentral:rRNA from 1 species
UAGAGUUUGAUCCUGGCUCAGAUUGAACGCUGGCGGCAUGCCUUACACAUGCAAGUCGAACGGUAACGGGCCUUCGGGUGCCGACGAGUGGCGAACGGGUGAGUAAUGCAUCGGAACGUGCCCAGUGGUGGGGGAUAGCCCGGCGAAAGCCGGAUUAAUACCGCAUACGACCUACGGGUGAAAGCGGGGGACCUUCGGGCCUCGCGCCAUUGGAGCGGCCGAUGUCAGAUUAGGUAGUUGGUGGGGUAAAGGCCUACCAAGCCGACGAUCUGUAGCUGGUCUGAGAGGACGACCAGCCACACUGGGACUGAGACACGGCCCAGACUCCUACGGGAGGCAGCAGUGGGGAAUUUUGGACAAUGGGCGCAAGCCUGAUCCAGCCAUGCCGCGUGCGGGAAGAAGGCCUUCGGGUUGUAAACCGCUUUUGUCAGGGAAGAAAUCCUGCGGGCCAAUACCCUGCGGGGAUGACGGUACCUGAAGAAUAAGCACCGGCUAACUACGUGCCAGCAGCCGCGGUAAUACGUAGGGUGCAAGCGUUAAUCGGAAUUACUGGGCGUAAAGCGUGCGCAGGCGGUUGUGCAAGACAGAUGUGAAAUCCCCGGGCUCAACCUGGGAACUGCAUUUGUGACUGCACGGCUGGAGUGCGGCAGAGGGGGAUGGAAUUCCGCGUGUAGCAGUGAAAUGCGUAGAUAUGCGGAGGAACACCGAUGGCGAAGGCAAUCCCCUGGGCCUGCACUGA